AGGGCAAUACCAGUGGUGGAUUGAGCCAAGGUUUCUUUAGUGUAGCGGUGGUAUCACGUUCGCCUACCAUAGAAAAGGUCCAUAGUUUGAAACUGGGCGGAAACACUGUCCAUUUGACCUGCUUUCUCUGCAGCGGGGAAUCUUCUUGCAACUGGUCAAUAAAAAGACAGCUCUUCCAGCCUGCCCAAAGGCCACUGAUGAAGCCAACCGAUUGGCAUCAUCUGAGAGAUGUCCUCCUGCAUGCAUUCGUUUGAUUCAGCACUUCUUUGACAACAUUGUCACACUUUUGCUAAGUGACAGAAGUGUGACAAUCUGGACUCAUGCUUUUAGCAACAGUCUGUUCAGGACCUGUAGUUUCAGUAGUAAAAUAGUGUUAAUCAGCAUGAGUUGUGUUGCAUAGGACAGGAGAAGCCAAGGAGAGUGAAAAGUUUGUAGUUGCCUUUUGAAAAGAAGCUCCCCGUCAGGGAAUCGAACCCUGGUCUUCUGCGUGACAAGCAGAGAUACUGUCCACUAUACUAACGAGGAGUGUAUUGGAAAAUUGUCUGGCAGCCUCAACUUCGGUCUUAAGAGGAAGUAUGCACUUGAACUGCGUCCAUUUGGGCGGAUACUCACUCCAGGCCGAGUUUGUUCUAUCCUCCACUCCCUGGCUGAAAACCACAACCUCCUACAUGCAGGUGCUGAUUUAGACUGUUCCAUAGUGAUGAUGGUCAAUGCCUGAUGAAUCUGUUAGUUCAAGACCUUCUCCAAAGUACUUCUGCAAAGACAAAAGAGCAAUACCAGUUGUGGAUUGAGCAAACGUUUCUUUAGUGUAGCGGUGGUAUCACGUUCGCCUAACAUAGGAAAGGUCCCCAGUUUGAAACUGGGCGGAAACACUGUCCAUUUGUCCUGCCUUCUCUGCAGCGGUGGAUCUUCUUGCAACUGGUCAAUAAAAGGACAGCUCUUCCAGGCUGCGCAUAAGGCCACUAAUGAAGCCAACCGAUUGGCAUCAUCUGAGAGAUGUCCUCCUGCAUGCAUUCGUUUGAUUCAGCACUUCUUUGACAACAUUGUCACACUUUUGCUAAGUGACAGAAGUGUGACAAUCUGGAGUCAUGCUUUUAGCAACAGUCUGUUCAGGACCUGUAGUUUCAGUAGUAAAAUAGUGUUAAUCAGCAUGAGUUGUGUUGCAUAGGACAGGAGAAGCCAAGGAGAGUGAACAGUUUGUAGUUGCCUUUUGAAAAGAAGCUCCCCGUCAGGGAAUCGAACCCUGGUCUUCUGCGUGACAAGCAGAGAUACUGUCCACUAUACUAACGAGGAGUGCAUCUGAAAAUUGUCUGGCAGCCUCAACUUCGGUCUUAAGAGGAAGUAUGCACUUGAACUGUGUCCAUUUGGGCGGAUACUCACUCCAGGCCGAGUUUGUUCUAUCCUCCACUCCCUGGCUGAAAACCACGACCUCAUACAUGCAGGUGCUUAUUUAGACUGUUCCAUAGUGAUGAUGGUCAAUGCCUGAUGAAUUUGUUAGUUCAAGACCUUCUCCAAAGUACUUCUGCAAAGACAAAAGAGCAAUACCAGUGGUGGAUUGAGCAAACGUUUCUUUAGUGUAGCGGUGGUAUCACGUUCGCCUAACAUAGGAAAGGUCCAUAGUUUGAAACUGGGCGGAAACACUGUCCAUUUGACCUGCUUUCUCUGCAGCGGGGAAUCUUCUUGCAACUGGUCAAUAAAAAGACAGCUCUUCCAGGCUGCGCAUAAGGCCACUAAUGAAGCCAACCGAUUGGCAUCAUCUGAGAGAUGUCCUCCUGCAUGCAUUCGUUUGAUUCAGCACUUCUUUGACAAUAUUGUCACACUUUUGCUAAGUGACAGAAGUGUGACUAUCUGGAGUCAUGCUUUUAGCAACAGUCUGUUCAGGACCUGUAGUUUCAGUAGUAAAAUAGUGUUAAUCAGCAUGAGUUGUGUUGCAUAGGACAGGAGAAGCCAAGGAGAGUGAACAGUUUGUAGUUGCCUUUUGAAAAGAAGCUCCCCGUCAGGGAAUUGAACCCUGGUCUUCUGCGUGACAAGCAGAGAUACUGUCCACUAUACUAACGAGGAGUGCAUCUGAAAAUUGUCUGGCAGCCUCAACUUCGGUCUUAAGAGGAAGUAUGGACUUGAACUGUGUCCAUUUGGGCGGAUACUCACUCCAGGCCGAGUUUGUUCUAUCCUCCACUCCCUGGCUGAAAACCACGACCUCAUACAUGCAGGUGCUUAUUUAGACUGUUCCAUAGUGACGAUGGUCAAUGCCUGAUGAAUCUGUUAGUUCAAGACCUUCUCCAAAGUACUUCUGCAAAGACAAAAGGGCAAUACCAGUGGUGGAUUGAGCCGAGGUUUCUUUAGUGUAGCGGUGGUAUCACGUUCGCCUAACAUAGGAAAGGUCCCCAGUUUGAAACUGGGCGGAAACACUGUCCAUUUGUCCUGCCUUCUCUGCAGCGGUGGAUCUUCUUGCAACUGGUCAAUAAAAAAACAGCUCUUCCAGGCUGUGCAUAAGGCCACUGAUGAAGCCAACCGAUUGGCAUCAUCUGAGAGAUGUCCUCCUCCAUGCAUUCGUUUGAUUCAGCACUUCUUUGACAACAUUGUCACAGUUUCGCUAAGUGACAGAAGUGUGACAAUCUGGAGUCAUGCUUUUAGCAACAGUCUGUUCAGGACCUGUAGUUUCAGUAGUAAAAUAGUGUUAAUCAGCAUGAGUUGUGUUGCAUAGGAC
ensembl:lncRNA